AAACCCUAAUUCACAUCGAGAUCCGAACGAGUAUAGUAGAGUUUCGGAGAGAUCCGAAUCUUCAAUGGCACAUCGAAGAGUGAAAUUGCUGUUCCUUCUCUGCGCUCUUUGUUAUGCACUCAAUUCCUUUGCCGCAAAGAGCUAUUACGAUAUACUGCAAGUGUCGAAGAGUGCGGGGGAUGAUCAGAUUAAGAGAGCGUAUAGGAAACUGGCAUUGAAGUAUCAUCCUGAUAAGAAUCCGAGGAAUGAAGAAGCUAAUAAGAAAUUCGCGGAGAUUAACAAUGUGUGAUGGUUGCAGAGAAUCUGGAGGAACAUGUGGUACAAAUCAGAAUGAUUUUUCUCAUUUUUCUUGUAACUGUCCUUCUGGAAGUGGAACUCAUCAUGAUGCUGCAAAUUGUUCUUCUUAUCACAAGACGUUGAGUAUCAAACGAGCUUGGCAAAGGAAGUCGAAAGCCGCAAAAUUCUCAAUCGUCGUGACAGUGCUUACAUCGUUGGCCAUCGGAACCUGUCUAUUUUUAUUUUUCUUAUUCUUUAGGGAAAGACUUGCUUACAUAUUUACCUCAAACAAAGAGGUGGCUGUAGCGG